GUUACUCUUAAAUAAUAGAGUAACGCAAAUUGAAUGCGAAAGCCUAGUAUAUUAAGGUUAAGAAUUGCUUAAGGUGAUUUAAAUCUUAAAUAGGGGAGUUAUUCCCCACCAAAUCCCCGCCAAGUUAGAUCUUGGCGGGGAUUUUUUC
rnacentral:sRNA from 1 species